rnacentral:misc_RNA from 1 species
GAUGAAGAACGUAGUGAAAUGCGAUAAGUAAUGUGAAUUGCAGAAUUCAGUGAAUCAUCGAAUCUUUGAACGCACAUUGCGCCCCCUGGUAUUCCGAGGGGCAUGCCUGUUCGAGCGUCAUUAUAACCCCUCAAGCUCAGCUUGGUGUUGGGGCCUGCCGCACGGGCAGCCCUUAAAAUCAGUGGCGGUGCCAUCUGGCUCUAAGCGUAGUAAUUCUUCUCGCUAUAGAGUCCCGGUGGAUGCUUGCCAUUAACCCCCAAUUUUCUAUGGUUGACCUCGGAUCAGGUAGGGAUACCCGCUGAACUUAAGCAUAUCAAUAAGCGGAGGA